UACGUAGGGUGCAAGCGUUGUCCGGAAUUAUUGGGCGUAAAGAGCUCGUAGGCGGUUUGUUGCGUUGGCUGUGAAAUCCCGAGGCUCAACCUCGGGUCUGCAGUCGAUACGAGCAAACUAGAGUGUUGCAGGGGAGACUGGAAUUCCUGGUGUAGCGGUGAAAUGCGCAGAUAUCAGGAGGAACACCGGUGGCGAAGGCGGGUCUCUGGGCAACAACUGACGCUGAGGAGCGAAAGCGUGGGGAGCGAACAGG
rnacentral:rRNA from 1 species